AUGUACCUACGGGGCGCGCAGUAGGGAAUUUUCGUCAAUGGGCGCAAGCCUGAACGAGCAAUGCCGCGUGAACGAGGAAGGUCGUCGGAUCGUAAAGUUCUGUUGAAGGGGAAAAAGAGCGGAGAGAGGAAAUGAACUCCGAUUGAUAUUACCCUUCGAGGAAGUCACGGCUAACUACGUGCCAGCAGCCGCGGUAAUACGUAGGUGGCGAGCGUUAUCCGGAAUGAUUGGGCGUAAAGGGUGCGUAGGCGGCCUGCUAAGUCUGGAGUGAAAGGUACCGGCUCAACCGGUACAGGCUCUGGAAA
rnacentral:rRNA from 1 species